rnacentral:rRNA from 1 species
GACAGAGGGUGCAACCGUUGUUCGGAAUUACUGGGCGUAAAGCGCGUGUAGGCUGCUCGGAAAGUCGGGUGUGAAAGCCCUGGGCUCAACCCAGGAAGUGCACUCGAAACUCCCGAGCUGGAGUCCCGGAGAGGAAAGUGGAAUUCUCGGUGUAGAGGUGAAAUUCGUAGAUAUCGAGAGGAACAUCGGUGGCGAAGGCGGCUUUCUGGACGGUGACUGACGCUGAGGUGCGAAAGCGUGGGGAGCAAACAGG